GCAGGCAUAGUUCAUCGGUAGAACGCGACCUUCCCAAGGUUGAGAGGCGGGUUCGAUUCCCGCUGCCUGCUCCA
rnacentral:tRNA from 2 species